UGAGUAACACGUAUCCAACCUGCCGUCUACUCUUGGCCAGCCUUCUGAAAGGAAGAUUAAUCCAGGAUGGCAUCAUGAGUUCACAUGUCCGCAUGAUUAAAGGUAUUUUCCGGUAGACGAUGGGGAUGCGUUCCAUUAGAUAGUAGGCGGGGUAACGGCCCACCUAGUCAACGAUGGAUAGGGGUUCUGAGAGGAAGGUCCCCCACAUUGGAACUGAGACACGAUCCAA
rnacentral:rRNA from 1 species